CGUGAAAGCGUGGCCUAUCGA
rnacentral:siRNA from 1 species